CCUUCUUGGUGCAGUAGGCAACAUAUCAGCCUCAUAAGCUGAAGGUCCUGAGUUUGACCCUUAAAAGGAGGA
rnacentral:tRNA from 1 species